rnacentral:lncRNA from 1 species
ACACACACCACACAUACACACCACACAUAUACACCCCCCAACAUAUACACCCCCCCACAUAUACACACACCACACACACACCACACACACACACACACCCCACACAUAUACACACCACACAUAUACACAUACACACCACACAUGUACCACACAAAUAUACACCCCCCACAUAUACACACACCACACACACACACCACACAUAUACACUCCCCCACAUAUAUACACACACGCCACACACACACCACACAUACACAUGCACACAUAUAUACCACACACACAAACACACCCACACACCCACACCACACAUAUACACAUACACACCACACAUACACACACACACACCCCACACACACCAUGCAUAUACACAUACACACCACACAUAUACACCCACACAUACAUACCACACAUAUACACACACACACCACAUAUAUACACACCACACAUGUACCACAUACAUCUACACCCCCUCCACAUAUACAUACCCCUCCACAUAUACACACACACCACACAUACACACACCACACAUAUACACCCACACAUAUACACAUACCCCCCCCACAUAUACACACCCCCGACAUAUACAUACCCCCCCACAUAUACACGCACACACACCACACACACCACAUAUACACCCGCACAUACACACCACACAUAUACACAUACACACCACACAUGUACCACACACAUAUAUACCCCUUACAUAUACACCCCCACAUAUACAUACCCCCCUACAUAUACACACACACCACACACACCACACACACCACACACCACACACACACAAAUACACACCACAUACACAUACCCCCCACACACACACACCACACAUAUACACCCCCCUCACAUAUACCCACCACCCACAUAUACAUACCCCCCCACAUAUACACACACACCACACAUACACACACCACACACACAAACAUACCACACACACAUACACACCACACAUGUCCCACACAUACCAUACAAAUACACACACACCACCCACAUACAUACACCCCCACCUAUAUGCACACAUGCACCACACACAUACACACCACACAUAUAUACACACACACCGCACAAACACACACACACCACCCAUACACACACACACCACACACAUACACCCCCCCCCUCACACACACACACACACACACAUCUUAGCCUUCAGAAAUGAGGCUAGGCUGCCACCUAGUGACCACAUAUGAGACUGCAGGCAUUUCCAGGUGU